CACACACACACAUGCUAUCUCUUCAAGAAUGAAAAAAAAAAAAGAUCUAGUUCCUGACUUGAGGCAAAUGUUUGUUGGAAUAAGUGGUGAUUUCCUGGUCGUGCAUUAAAGGGAGAUGAGACAGACUUCUUUUAACCGGAGUGUUAAUCCAGCAGCGGAUGAGACGCAGCACGGAGCACGCAGAAGUAAAAUCCAGGAAAAGUGACGGAGUGUAGAGGUGCGAGCAGUGGCAUGAGGAAUGUCUCCUCUGGUUUUAAUGCACCGUUGCCCGUCGGUGGAGGAUGCAGGCUAAAGCUCGGCACACAUGAAGCCCAUUUACCGUCAUCCUCGCAUCUGUUCUCACUAAUCCCCUCCAGACGUAACAAUAUGUUCUCCAAUAAGAUUAUGAUUGCUCAAUAAGCCUUAUCUAUGUAAUUCAGAAAACAUAUACCGCUUUAAACCAGCUCGCUAGAUUAGAGCAGUUUGGAGCUAAUCUGGAGUCAGUCUGGAGUCAAUCUGUGCUGCUC